rfam:Anopheles maculatus strain maculatus3 cont1.21418, whole genome shotgun sequence.
GUAUAUUAUUGCUCUGUUAAUGGGGUAGGAUCCGAGACCCAGAAAUGGGUUACAUAGGCUCUCUUACUCAACUCCUAUUCCGUCACGUCCCCGUCGUGCAGAGUGGUAACCUGCUUCACCGUAUAUCCAAGCUUGGGUAAACGGGCCAGU